rnacentral:lncRNA from 1 species
CAGUCUGGCGGGAAUGAUAACCAAAACCUUAGAGUCCUUCGGAUAAGCUACCUGCGGAUCAGGGGGGAAGUCAUUGCAAGCUGAACAGAAGGCUUUGUGUUGAAGGACAGCCAUUGAAGUUCAAAAGGCUUAGCCGAGGUCAAGCUGGCAAUGUCAGGCUGAGGAAGUGAACUGUGGAAUAAGGUGCAGAGGGAAGGACCACACAUCACCACUCUGGCUGGCCAGACCCCACAGGGCACUGUCGUUGUGAAGAGGUUUCUUUCAGGAUCAUCGCCCUCUUCCUCCACGAGCUGCACAUUAUUCUCCUUCACACACGUUCCCAGCUCCCAGAAAAAUAUGUGAGCCUCACACCCUAGAAGCUGGUGUCAUUGUCCAGAAUCAGAUUAAGCACAGUAACCCCCAUCAGCAUCCAGAGACUCACGUGGGAUUCUGGACUUGGUGAGACACAAAAGCAUCCACACAAUAGACACAAGCAGAAGCUCCCGAGGACUGGAGCCAUCUCCUCUGAGUAGGAACAGGUGAUGCUUAUAUGAUGUGAGCAAGGUCCUGCGAUCUCACGGCGCUCUGGCUUGCUGCUUCUAUCCUGGUCCUUUUUAUUUCAGCAGAAUGGCCGAGUAAACAUGCUUUGAGAUGGGCACAGGCAGGGUCCAGAACUGAAACCCGGUGGAGAGAGGAAGGAUCUUAUGGGUCAAGUGAAGCUGAUUAAAACGUAGAGGAACAUGGACAACAGGUGGUUUUCCUUCGCAUCAGCACUACACACCUGGAGAUGCAGACAUCCUGACCCACCCAGGAGCUGCCUCGGUCAUGGGCUGACUGCAGAAAAGAUGCUUCAGAUGGAUAGGUAGAAGCAGAUAAGGGAGGAUUAAGAGACCUGAGGUCAGUAGAAUUUUAGUGAAAUCCUUGGAAACAUCUCACCACCAGGAGACAAAGGAACAAGAAGGACAUCAGAUGGCAUACUAAACAAAUGUAGUUCCAAUGAUUCCUGGAAGGAUUGAUCGCUAGGAAAUAAGAAGACCAAAGUUACCUGCUUUUACACUUGCACUGAGACUCUAGUGAUGGAACUGUCAGUCUCCUUGAACAUCUAGGCCAGGAGCCGUAUAGAGACACAGAGGGAGAGGCAUCCCUCCUGCCAUUAGAAGUAAAGAAGAUGGGGACACCACAUCUGUCAGCAUAGUCAUGAUUGUUGUAUUAUCCAUGGAAACAAAAGCUGCUGCCUUCAGUCUCUUCUGGACUUUCUGUGUAGCUACACCAAGCCUUCAGAGAUACCCACUCUGCAUUCUAGAUCAAGGCUGCAAGGGGUUUCUGUGCCACUAAAAGAACUUGAGAGGGAUCUUCUUCCCACUCCACAAGAUGGGGGCCAAAAUGAGUGGUUUCCCUGAGAGGUCUGAUUGGAAAAGGAGGUUCCAGAAUAGAGAAUAAAUGGACCUUGGGCUGGUCAUAGAAGCAUAUUAAGGCAGGCAAGAGCACCUAAUGUGGCUUUACCUGUGCCUUUAUUUGUUCUUGCCACUGGCACCAUAUGUGCCAGCCCACAACAAACAAUGGCCUUAUCAGGAUGCUGCAAGAUGAUCCUCCCUCCAGGUGGCUUCACAGCAAAUGAACAAAGGAGCCGUUUAUUUAUUGAUGCUUCACCAGCAACAUUCAGGUCAGUGUGUGGUGCACAGAUAGAGGAAGCUGGUCUCUGCCUCUGACACAUUUCCUGAUGGGAAAUUCUCUU